rfam:Oryza brachyantha chromosome 8, whole genome shotgun sequence.
GUGAUAAGAGCCACUCGGACUAGCCAAGGAGACUGCCCAUGAACCAGCUCAAGGCCCAUUUCUGAAGCUUUUACACAGGGACACAGGCAAGUCAUCCUUGGCUACCAGAGCUACACUCUCAUCA